rnacentral:rRNA from 1 species
UACGUAGGUGGCAAGCGAUACUCGGAAUCACUAGGCGUAAAGCGCAGGUAGGCGGCUCGAUAAGUCUUUUGUGAAAGCUCCCGGCUCAACUGGGAGAGGUCAAGGGAAACUGUUGGGCUAGAGUGUGGUAGAGGAAACUGGAAUUCCCGGUGUAGCGGUGAAAUGCGUAGAUAUCGGGAGGAAUACCUAUGGCGAAAGCAGGUUUCUGGGCCAUCACUGACGCUGAGCUGCGAAAGCUAGGGGAGCAAACAGG